rnacentral:rRNA from 1 species
GUAGGGUGCGAGCGUUAAUCGGAAUUACUGGGCGUAAAGCGUGCGCAGGCGGCUUUGCAAGACAGAUGUGAAAUCCCCGGGCUCAACCUGGGAACUGCAUUUGUGACUGCAAGGCUAGAGUACGGCAGAGGGGGAUGGAAUUCCGCGUGUAGCAGUGAAAUGCGUAGAUAUGCGGAGGAACACCGAUGGCGAAGGCAAUCCCCUGGGCCUGUACUGACGCUCAUGCACGAAAGCGUGGGGAGCAAACAGGAUUAGAUACCUGGUAGUCCCACGCCCUAAACGAUGUCAACUGGUUGUUGGACGGCUUGCUGUUCAGUAACGAAGCUAACGCGUGAAGUUGACCGCCUGGGGAGUACGGCCGCAAGGUUG